CGUAUAUUAAAGUUGUUGCAGUUAAAAAGCUCGUAGUUGGAUUUUUGGUGUCCAUUUUGGUCCUGGCAUUGUCUGGGUACUGGAUGUGGGCGUCAUCCUUGGGUGGAAGCAGUGUGGCAUUAGGUUGUCGUGUUGCGGAUGCCCAUCGUUUACUGUGAAAAAAUCAGCGCGUUCAAAGCAGGCUUAUGCCGUUGAAUGUAUUAGCAUGGAAUAAUAAGAUAGGACCUUGGUACUAUUUUGUUGGUUUGCGCACCGAGGUAAUGAUUAACAGGGACAGUUGGGGG
rnacentral:rRNA from 1 species